AUAUUGCACAAUGGAGGAAACUCUGAUGCAGCAACGCCGCGUGAGGGAAGAAGGUUUNNNGAUUGNACACCUCUGUUUUCGGGNAAGNAACAAAUGACGGUAGCCGAAGAGGAAGCCACGGCUAACUACGUGCCAGCAGCCGCGGUAAUACGUAGGUGGCAAGCGUUGUCCGGAUUUACUGGGUGUAAAGGGUGCGCAGGCGGGACUGCAAGUUGGAUGUGAAAUACCGGGGCUCAACCCCGGGGCUGCAUCCAAAACUGUGGUUCUUGAGUGGAGUAGAGGUAAGCGGAAUUCCGAGUGUAGCGGUGAAAUGCGUAGAUAUUCGGAGGAACACCAGUGGCGAAGGCGGCUUACUGGGCUCUAACUGACGCUGAGGCACGAAAGCAUGGGUAGCAAACAGG
rnacentral:rRNA from 1 species